rnacentral:rRNA from 1 species
UACGUAGGGACCGAGCGUUGUCCGGAAUCAUUGGGCGUAAAGAGCGUGUAGGCGGUCAGGUAGGUCCGUUGUGAAAACUCGAGGCUCAACCUCGAGACGCCGAUGGAAACCAUCUGACUAGAGUCCGGAAGAGGAGAGUGGAAUUCCUGGUGUAGCGGUGAAAUGCGCAGAUAUCAGGAGGAACACCGGUGGCGAAGGCGGGUCUCUGGGCCGUAACUGACGCUGAGGAGCGAAAGCAUGGGGGAGCGAACAGG